GCUAACUAUAGCUCCAUCUGUUACUGUUGACUCACUUAUUUUUUCCUUCAGUCCUGUCACCUUAACUACAUGAAUUUUAGGACUUUGUGAAAACAUAACUGUCAUGUCUUCCUGACAGUUUAAAAUUUUUUAGACAUUUCAUGCUUCUCUUGAUAUCCCCUCUAAAACUUUUAUAGAAAUUCAAUUGUCAUGGUGACAUCAUAAAAGGAGGGACCUUUAAGAGGUGGAGUAACUGAUGAGGGCUGUGCCUCAUCUGAACUGAUUCUUGGUCUAUGGCCAUACCACCCUGAAUGUGCCCCAUCUCAUCUGAAUUGAUUCCUGCUGUGAUCAGAGGAGAGUGGUUGGGCCAUUCUGCAUAAUUUGGAUUGGAGCAAACAGAAACCUGUACCAUUUUGGAGGAAAAGACAUCUCUUAGAACAGCAACAUUACUAAAUAUUUUAAACUGUACAGUGGACUCAGAUGAGAUCACUACGGAUCGCUCCCUCCUGAUACUAGGACACAACAGCAAGGAGGGCCAAGUCAUUAUGGAAAACAAAGGCACAGAAGAGACCAAGAAUGAACUGACCCAGAAGCCAAUGAUAGCCCCGUAUUUCAGUAGAAGAGCACACUGCUGAGACGACCAGGGAACUAAGUAGAAAUGGGCGGCACGUUAGCAUCAUGGAGAGAGAAGGCAGAGAUGAGUCUGUAAGCUGUUUCCUUUAAAAGAAGAUGGUGGACAGUAACGGAGCCCUUCAUGACUUCUCUUGAGUGCCUGGAUUAAAACUUUCCCAGCAGCACAACAAAGGACAAUGGAUCCACGUGCAUGUGCUAGUCAGCUUGAGCUAAGUUUGUCACCUGUUUACAAAAUGGAUUCCGAUCCAUGUUACCUCACAACUCUUUAAAUAAAUCUAGAAAAACAAAUAGAGAGAAAAACAUGGAGCAAACAUGGAAAAGUCUGAAAACAGACUAAAAUAUUGUGUCACUGUGCUUGCAUAGCACGUAAAUUUGUUUCCAAAUAAAGUCAUUUGGUUCUUUAAGCACAUAUAAGUAUGCAAUGAAUAAAUACUCAGUUAAAAAGCAAAUAUAAUUACUGAGGGCU
rnacentral:lncRNA from 1 species